CUGAGACACACUAAUAUCCACGAGACAAACGUCAGCUGGGGAAGGAAGGGUCUGAGUGCUAAACACAACAGAUCUCAUCAGUUUUAUGUGGAACGGCUCUGCUCACACUUCCAGCGCACUGUCACUGCUUCCCUCAACAAACUUAUGCAGGUCCGUCAGGCUAAAGGCUCCUUCGACAUGCAGAGGAAGGAGGUUUCCAGACUCCGAGUUGAAGAAGAGAUUCGCCGUCAUGUCAGAUUUGGGAAAACACUGUGAGUCACAGAUGGUUCGGUUUUAUGUGACUAGUUUGAAUUGAACAUAAAUGUUCUUUUCGUUUUCCUUGUUAGAGCACAGGGCUAUGCUUUCAGGCAGGACUUUCUGAUGGAAAUGAAGCAUGCACUUGAAGCAUCGGCGUCUUCCCAGAAUGCUGUGCUGUUACUGGGGGAACCGGGGUCUGGAAAGAGCACAACUCUUGCCAAAUUGGCACAACUCAUACCUAGCUGGAUACCUGGGGAUGCCAAAGUGCUGAUCUGCUUUGUAGGUCUGACAUCCGACAGCAGAAACGUACGUCUGCUCCUCCAGACCCUGUGUCUGCAGGUAGCCAACAUCUAUAACCUCAAAACAGAGAUAUCUGAGGUGCAUAAACACUUUAAAGAUCAAUCAAAUAUUCAUAAGGUCUUUUACACCGUAUUGGAUACAUGAUAUUGUGAGAUUGCUUGACUGUCUCACAGAUAGUGUUGCACUAUGAAAUCCAGUCGAUGUUUUUUCCUCACAGUCACUGUCAGAGUUGUCUAGUGAGCUGUGCUCAUUAUUGGGCCUGGUGACAGAAGACCGGCCCUUGACCCUGGUGCUGGAUGGUCUGGAUAAUCUGAGUGAGGAACAUGAGGCUGACCUUUCCUGGCUUAGUAAUGCUUUACUGCCAAACAUCUUCAGCUGUUCCUUAUAUGUACAUUUAUCUUUUCUGGCCUCUUAUUGCUACCUGUCCCAACUUUUUUGGAAUGUCUAGCUCUCAUGAAAUCCAAAAAGAGCCAAUAUUUGGCAUGACAUUUCAAAAUGUCUCACUUUCAACAUUUGAUAUUGUAACGGAGUGAGGAAUCACACGACAAGAGGACUUCAAUAAAUUCUGGGUGAGGGUGAAUUUAUUGAGAGGU
ensembl:lncRNA